AAAUUCCAAUUUCUCUAGCAUUCAUUUUCUACUCUCAACGUCAAAAUUCAGCACAAGAUUAUCAAAGAAUUGAGUUGAAGAUUUGAAGAAAAAAAUUCUAAGAGGCUAAAGAUGGAAGAAUAUGAGGCUGCUUGUAUAAGGUCUUGAUGUUUUCGUGAAGACCACAAAUAAAGGAGGCUGAUAAUAACUAGCAAGGCUAUUCCUCGAAGUAAAUACAUCACAUGAUAGUACCAAGCAAGCAGUUGGCACUUAGCUGCGGAGAAGAACAGGACAAUUUUGUUUGGCCAAUUGAAGUUCCCUUAAUUGGAAGAUUUUGUCUACCAAAGAGUCGUUGCAGUGUAGAGACAGUAAGAAAAUGUCAGCUUGUCUAUUAUGCCUACAAUUACAAGAAAGUAGACGAACGAGGCUUCAAGCACAAUGAUACAAAUUCAUAGUUUUGACUACAAGUCGGAGAGGAAAGAGUUGGAAGAAAGAACUAGAAAAGCUAAUGUGAAAACAAGUCAUUCAGAAGAUCUCGUUUCGGACAUGGAGCUCACUCUCUUGCAAGUGCUCGUGUAGCUCCCUCUCCUUGAUCUCAAAUUCUACCAGGGAGCAUCGUCAAUUGAGCAUAAGAGAAAUUCUAAUGACGUAUUUAUCGUGGCAUUUAUACUUCGAAAACUUUUUUGUAUUUAUAAAAAUAGUUUGACAAUAUUACUAUAGUUUAUGCCCUUUUAUUGUAUAGCAACAAUAUUUGUUUAUGAUAAUCAAACUACAAAAGA